CUUUCUUCUGCCGGCCAUUUUCUCUUUUUUUCACUGAAUAAUGGCUUCAUCACGAUUGUUCCAGAGAACAAAGUGUCCCUAACAGUGUACGGUCACGAUUUCGACUUUAUCCCGAUGUUUGCGUUAGCAGAAACUAGAAAUCAUCGCAAAACACAUUAAAAGUGAUAUUUUUCCUCUUUUUUUUAGGCGGUCAUUGGACGCAUAUAUAGUUGUCCAUCCUAAACUGAAAAAGCCGUAUCUAAGAGAAGUUGAAUCUUCAAGUGUGUUCUACAAGGAAACUUCAAGUCAUUCCUAUCUACAGCCUUUAAAGACUACGCUAUUCUUGGAGCAGAAUCUUAAAUCUUUUUCGCCAAAUGGAUGUCAAGCGCGAACGAAUAUCAGCAUGGCCAACUCUUGAAGCGACGUUGCACAAACUUUUUGCUUGCUUUCUGAAAUAGUGUGAAAUGAGGAUGAUGUUGCUGGAAUUAAUUCACCGGAACUAGUUUUCACCCACAACAGGUAAGUGUGAAUUGGAAGUCUCAAAACACCGUGACGAGUGUGAGGCGUAAAAUUAAAUGGUCAAAAAU